UACGUAGGGGGCUAGCGUUGUCCGGAAUCAUUGGGCGUAAAGCGCGUGUAGGCGGUUCGAUAAGUCUGCUGUGAAAGUCCAGGGCUCAACCCUGGGAUGCCGGUGGAUACUGUCGAGCUAGAGUACGGAAGAGGCGAGUGGAAUUCCCGGUGUAGCGGUGAAAUGCGCAGAUAUCGGGAGGAACACCAAUUGCGAAGGCAGCUCGCUGGGACGUCACUGACGCUGAGACGCGAAAGCGUGGGGAGCAAACAGG
rnacentral:rRNA from 1 species